UGGCUAAAAUUGCAACAGUCUUAUACAAAAAUCUACCAUCGGAAGGGCUAUCAUUAACACUGUAUAUUGCCCCCGGAACAAAAGAAAAAACAAUUAAUGCCUCAAUUAGUGGUAAAAGUAAUGCGAUUUCUUGCUCGCUGAUCAUACAGAUUUUAGCCCAAUUUGAUGGCAAAGCACGCCAACUAUCAGCUAGAAGCAUGGCAUGAUUGCGUGAAGCAGCAGAAAGCCGGUGAACAAUUACAUUCUUAACAUGAGGAGCACCCU
rnacentral:lncRNA from 1 species